rfam:Ostreococcus tauri chloroplast, complete genome.
UGGGGCAUAGCCAAGUGGUAAGGCGGCUGGUUUUGGUUCAGUUAUUCCGAGGUUCGAGUCCUUGUGCCCCAG